UACGUAGGGGGCGAGCGUUGUCCGGAAUUAUUGGGCGUAAAGAGCGUGUAGGCUGUUCGGUAAGUCUGCCGUGAAAACCUGAGGCUCAACCUCGGGCGUGCGGUGGAUACUGCCGGGCUAGAGGACGGUAGAGGCGAGUGGAAUUCCCGGUGUAGCGGUGAAAUGCGCAGAUAUCAGGAGGAACACCGGUGGCGAAGGCGGGUCUCUGGGCCGAUACUGACGCUGAGGAGCGAAAGCGUGGGGAGCGAACAGG
rnacentral:rRNA from 1 species